UACGGAGGUCUCAAGCGUUGUUCGGAUUCAUUGGGCGUAAAGGGUGUGUAGGCGGCGCGCUAAGUCGGGUGUGAAAUUUUGGAGCUUAACUCCGAAACUGCAUUCGAUACUGGCGUGCUUGAGGACUGGAGAGGAGACUGGAAUUCAUGGUGUAGCAGUGAAAUGCGUAGAGAUCAUGAGGAAGACCAGUGGCGAAGGCGGGUCUCUGGACAGUUCCUGACACUGAGACACGAAGGCCAGGGGAGCAAACGGG
rnacentral:rRNA from 1 species